rnacentral:rRNA from 1 species
GAUGAACGCUGGCGGCGUGCCUAAUACAUGCAAGUCGAGCGAACGGACGAGAAGCUUGCUUCUUUGAUGUUAGCGGCGGACGGGUGAGUAACACGUGGAUAACCUACCUAUAAGACUGGGAUAACUUCGGGAAACCGGAGCUAAUACCGGAUGAUAUUUUGAACCGCAUGGUUCAAAAGUGAAAGACGGUCUUGCUGUCACUUAUAGAUGGAUCCGCGCUGCAUUAGCUAGUUGGUAAGGUAACGGCUUACCAAGGCAACGAUGCAUAGCCGACCUGAGAGGGUGAUCGGCCACACUGGAAGUGAGACACGGUCCAGACUCCUACGGGAGGCAGCAGUAGGGAAUCUUCCGCAAUGGGCGAAAGCCUGACGGAGCAACGCCGCGUGAGUGAUGAAGGUCUUCAGAUCGUAAAACUCUGUUAUUAGGGAAGAACAUAUGUGUAAGUAACUGUGCACAUCUUGACGGUACCUAAUCAGAAAGCCACGGCUAACUACGUG